rnacentral:rRNA from 1 species
CAGCGCCACAAGUGGGGACCAUUAUUAUUGGGCCUAAAGCGUCCGUAGCCGGAUAUGUAAAUCCUUUGUGAAAUUGUUGGGCUUAACCUAACAGCGUGCAGAGGACACUGCGUAUCUCGAGACCGGGAGGAGUCAGAGGUAUGCUGGGGGAAGCGGUAAAAUGCUGUAAUCCUCGGUAGACCACCUAUGGCGAAGGCAUCUGACUAGAACGGGUCUGACGGUGAGGGACGAAAGCUGGGGGAGCGAUCCGGAUUAGAUACCCGAGUAGUCC